GACGAACGCUGGCGGCGUGCCUAAUACAUGCAAGCUGAGCGAUGAAGAUUGGUGCUUGCACCAAUUUGAAGAGCAGCGAACGGGUGAGUAACGCGUGGGGAAUCUGCCUUUGAGCGGGGGACAACAUUUGGAAACGAAUGCUAAUACCGCAUAAUAACUUUAAACAUAAGUUUUAAGUUUGAAAGAUGCAAUUGCAUCACUCAAAGAUGAUCCCGCGUUGUAUUAGCUAGUUGGUGAGGUAAAGGCUCACCAAGGCGAUGAUACAUAGCCGACCUGAGAGGGUGAUCGGCCACAUUGGGACUGAGACACGGCCCAAACUCCUACGGGAGGCAGCAGUAGGGAAUCUUCGGCAAUGGACGAAAGUCUGACCGAGCAACGCCGCGUGAGUGAAGAAGGUUUUCGGAUCGUAAAACUCUGUUGGUAGAGAAGAACGUUGGUGAGAGUGGAAAGCUCAUCAAGUGACGGUAACUACCCAGAAAGGGACGGCUAACUACGUG
rnacentral:rRNA from 1 species